rnacentral:rRNA from 1 species
AGUGAACGCUGGCGGCAGGCCUAACACAUGCAAGUCGAGCGGCAGCGGGUUCCCGCGAGGGGAUGCCGGCGAGCGGCGGACGGGUGAGGAACAUAUCGGAAUCUGCCUGGUUGUGGGGGAUAACGUAGGGAAACUUACGCUAAUACCGCAUGCGACCCUGAGUCGACGGACUUGGGGUGAAAGUGAGGGACCUUCGGCCUCACGCGACCAGAUGAGCCGAUGUCGGAUUAGCUAGUUGGCGGGGUAACGGCCCGCCAAGGCGACGAUCCGUAGCUGGUCUGAGAGGACGAUCAGCCACACUGGCACUGCGACACGGGCCAGACUCCUACGGGAGGCAGCAGUAAGGAAUAUUGCGCAAUGGGCGAAAGCCUGACGCAGCGACGCCGCGUGGGGGA